UAAUGUCUGGGAAACUGCCUGAUGGAGGGGGAUAACUACUGGAAACGGUAGCUAAUACCGCAUAACGUCGCAAAACCAAAGAGGGGGACCUUCGGGCCUCUUGCCAUCGGAUGUGCCCAGAUGGGAUUAGCUAGUAGGUGGGGUAACGGCUCACCAAGGCGACGAUCCCUAGCUGGUCUGAGAGGAUGACAGCCGCACUGGAACUGAGACACGGUCCAGACUCCUACGGGAGGCAGCAGUGGGGAAUAUUGCACAAUGGGCGCAAGCCUGAUGCAGCCAUGCUCGUGUAUGAAGAAGGCCUUCGGGUUAAGUACUUUCAACGGGGAGGAAGGGAGUAAAGUUAAUACCUUUGCUCAUUGACGUUACCCGCAGAAAAAGCACCGGCUACUCCGUGCCAGCAGCAGGGAAAACGAGGGUGCAGCUUAAUCGAGUGACUGGCCGUAAAGCUCAUGCCCUCGAUUGUAAACUCGCUGAAUCCCCCGGCUCAUCCUAAGAGCUGCUCUAUACUGGCAUAAAUAAGUCAAGUGAGGACGGUCGAUUGGGGACAAGGCUGCAGCAGACU
rnacentral:rRNA from 1 species